CAGCAACACAGUGACUCUGAAUGGACAGAAUAUGCAGCCUGAAGACUCUGCUGUGUAUUACUGUGCCAGAUACACACAGUGACACAAAUGAUCAGUAGACCUGAACAAAAACCCCUCAGUGUCUGAACACUUGUAACAUGAAGCCACCAGAGGAGGAGCCCUCAGACCAGGAAUGAAUUUAAGAACAGAACACUGUUGUAUUUUCAUGUUAAUUGAAUUGAGACAGCAACUCUUUCUUCAGCAGUGGAUACAGAAUGAUCCAGUUCUUAUUCCACUUUUGGUAUAUUGUAUUUGUGGGGGAAGGAGUCCAGGUCCUGCAUCCUUUCAGAUACAAUAAGUGAACAGACAUUUCUAUUGGCUUCUCUUGGACCAGCACUGAUGCUUCAUAUGUUCUAUGCAAACUCCAUGAGCGUCCAGCUUUAAAAACAUCAGACUGUCAGCAAAGUUCACAGCACAUCAGUUUCACCUCCAACCAUGUUGUCUGUAGCUCUACUGCUGCUCUUUGCAGCUGCAUCCUGUGUGAAGUGUGAACAGUUGACUCAGCCACAAUCUGUGACUGUGCAGCCAGGUCAACGUCUCUCCAUCACCUGUCAGGUCUCUUAUUCUGUGAGCAGCUACUGGACACACUGGAUCAGACAACCUGAAGGAAAAGGACUGGAGUGGAUUGGAAUGGCAGCUGCUGGAUACACAACAUACUACAAAGACUCACUCAAAAGCAAAUUCAGCCUUUCCACUGAUUCUUCCAGCAACAGAGUGACUAUAAAUGGACAAAAUAUUCAGCCUGAAGACUCUGCUGUGUAUUACUGUGCCAGAGACACACAGUGACACAAAUGAUCAGUAGACCUGAACAAAAACCCCUCAGUGUCUGAACACUUGUAACAUGAAGCCACCAGAGGAGGAGCCCUCAGACCAGGAAUGAAUUCAGAUCAGUUCACUGUGAAAGAAAUAAACAGCUAAUUUAUCAAUAAAAAUGUAAAACAAGA